UACGUAGGGGGCAAGCGUUGCCCGGAUUCAUUGGGCGUAAAGAGCGUGUAGGCGGCCAGGUAGGUCGGCUGUGAAAACUGGAGGCUCAACCUUCAGAGGUCGACCGAAACCAUCUGGCUAGAGUCCGGGAGAGGAGAGUGGAAUUCCUGGUGUAGCGGUGAAAUGCGCAGAUAUCAGGAAGAACACCCGUGGCGAAAGCGGCUCUCUGGAACGGUACUGACGCUGAGACGCGAAAGCGUGGGGAGCGAACAGG
rnacentral:rRNA from 1 species